rnacentral:lncRNA from 1 species
UUAAGAACAUGGAACACCUUGACACCUUGGUCCCCAUGAAGUCACCCAGUCAUUAAAUGCCAGCAGCCCACAGGAGUUGCUCAAACUCUCACACUCUUGACAUUUGCUCAGAGGAACACUCAGGCCUCUUUUGCAAUCCAGGGUUAGAAGGCUUUGUAGAAAAAGUGAUGUUUAGAUUUUGGUUGUGCUCUUGGCCUGUAUGUUUAACAUAGCAGAUGGCCCUGGACAAGGGGUCUGAAUGUGUUUCCAAACUCAGAGGCCAUGACAUAAACAUUCUGUCCUGAGGCCAGUCAUUGCUAGGAUAGGGAAGGGAAAGAAAGCCCAAGUAGGUCUUGGGUUCUCAGAGCAGAAGCAGAGGAGUCUUGGCUGUUGAUGUACCUGGUUACAAGGAAAAGGCAAUGGCUGUUGCAUGAGUAAGUCAUGAUACAUGAUUACAUGAGUGAGCCAAGAGCAUAAUAUAAUGAAUAUAAAGUAUUUAUACUUUAAGAAAUCCAUUUCCGAAGUCAGUCACAGAUCUUUCAAUCUUUCUCUUCUUUCCACAACACAGCAGAAAUAUUAAAA